rnacentral:rRNA from 1 species
UAUGGCGACCGGCGCACGGGUGAGUAACACGUAUCCAACCUGCCGAUGACUCGGGGAUAGCCUUUCGAAAGAAGGAUUAAUACCCGAUGGCAUAGUUCUUCCGCAUGGUAGAACUAUUAAAGAAUUUCGGUCAUCGAUGGGGAUGCGUUCCAUUAGGUUGUUGGCGGGGUAACGGCCCACCAAGCCUUCGAUGGAUAGGGGUUCUGAGAGGAAGGUCCCCCACAUUGGAACUGAGACACGGUCCAGACUCCUACGGGAGGCAGCAUG